UACGAAGGGGGCUAGCGUUGUUCGGAAUUACUGGGCGUAAAGCGCGUGUAGGCGGGUCUUUAAGUCAGGGGUGAAAUCCUGGAGCUCAACUCCAGAACUGCCUUUGAUACUGGCGAUCUUGAGUCCGGGAGAGGUGAGUGGAACUGCGAGUGUAGAGGUGAAAUUCGUAGAUAUUCGCAAGAACACCAGUGGCGAAGGCGGCUCACUGGCCCGGUACUGACGCUGAGGUGCGAAAGCGUGAGGAGCAAACAGG
rnacentral:rRNA from 1 species